rnacentral:snRNA from 1 species
UGAAGAGUCUUUUGUAAUGUACUAAAAAUUGGAACGAUACAGAGAAGAUUAGCAUGGCCUCUGCGCAAAGAUGACACGCAAAAUCGUGAAGCGUUCCAUAUUUUU